CAGCCGCCGCGGUAAUACGUAGGUCCCGAGCGUUGUCCGGAUUUAUUGGGCGUAAAGCGAGCGCAGGCGGUUAGAUAAGUCUGAAGUUAAAGGCUGUGGCUUAACCAUAGUACGCUUUGGAAACUGUUUAACUUGAGUGCAAGAGGGGAGAGUGGAAUUCCAUGUGUAGCGGUGAAAUGCGUAGAUAUAUGGAGGAACACCGGUGGCGAAAGCGGCUCUCUGGCUUGUAACUGACGCUGAGGCUCGAAAGCGUGGGGAGCAAACAGAAUUAGAUACCCCGGUAGUCCCUGUCUCUUAUACA
rnacentral:rRNA from 1 species